rnacentral:rRNA from 1 species
UUCUUCCACAUUCCGAUGUCAACAAUAUACCCUUUCCGCAGUCUCCUAUCCACGCAGGUUAGCUACAUGAUCGCCAGAUCAGUACUCAGGUGGGUGACCACUGGGGAAUCCCUGGUGUUGUAUGUUUU